rnacentral:rRNA from 1 species
UGGUGGAGCGAUUUGUCUGGUUAAUUCCGAUAACGAACGAGACUCUGGCCUAUUAAAUAGUUUCGCCGAUUCCGAUCUGUCGGCGUUAACUUCUUAGAGGGACAAGUGGCUUUUAGCCACGCGAGAUUGAGCAAUAACA